CCCACUCACUCCUCCAGAAACACCUCCGUCUGGAUACAUGAGUCAGUGAUGCUUUCUAAAGAGGAGGAAAGGACCAGAACAUCAGAACACGAGACUGCAAGUUCUCUGUUGCUCCAUAGGGGUGUUGAGGAGCCAAUGCAACUGGGGAAGAGAGAGAGAGGCCAGCCAAGCCAAAACACUGGAGGUCCCUGACGCUGCAGGCAGAUGUGAUGGCGUCGUCCACAGGUGUCGUGCAAUGGCCGGGCCAGUGGCUGUGCCAAAACAGGAUGUCUGGAGCUCGCUAGGAUUGGGACUUCCUCCUGGAGCGCAGUGGUCCAAGGGUUCUGCACGCUCCCAGAGCGGAGGAACACAUUACAGAUCUGGCAACG
ensembl:lncRNA